rnacentral:rRNA from 1 species
UACGUAGGGACCGAGCGUUGUCCGGAUUCAUUGGGCGUAAAGAGCUCGUAGGCGGCUGUUCAAGUCGAACGUGAAAACUCGGAGCUCAACUCCGAGCCUGCGUUCGAUACUGGACGGCUAGAGUCUGGUAGGGGGAUCUGGAAUUCCUGGUGUAGCGGUGAAAUGCGCAGAUAUCAGGAAGAACACCUAUGGCGAAGGCAGCUCUCUGGGACGGUACUGACGCUGAGACGCGAAAGCGUGGGGAGCGAACAGG